CAACGGUCUUAUUAGCACCCUAACCGUUUGAAACUCUCUCUCUCUCUCUCUCCUUCACGCCCAACGGUCAUAAUUAUCACUCUGUUCUCUCUAUCCCUCUCUCCUUCAAUGCAACUAAUCAGUAACUAUGAAAUCAAUUACAGAAAUCUCUGAUCUGUUUAAUUUUGUAGAGAAAGCAAAGCUGAAGAAGUUCAAGAAUCUGCUGACUUCCAAUUGGGAAAUUUCACUAUACAGAGGAUCUCGUUUAACAAAUUUGCUGCUUGGUGGAAAUUCAAAACUCACAUACAUCUUCCCUGAGAAAAGUUGGAUUUUGUUUGCAAUUUAAGAGUUUAUUGAGUGCAAUUGGUUUCAUCAUAAUUUACUCCUUUUCAUUUUGUUUAAAAGUCAAUGAUAAGUCAUUUUCCAUUAAUAUUGAGAAUGUGCAUGGUUGUUAAGGACAUUCAGAUUUGGAUAAAAGAAAUAUCGGAUUAAAACGUAAUGAUUAUAUUGUGAUUAGCUUAGCAAAGCCUUUAAUUAGCUUAGCGCUCAAGCAUGGUGUUUCCAGGUCCCACCAUGUCCUUGGAAAGCCUUUAAAUAGAGUUGCACCAUCACUAGCAUCAAAAUAGGACUUCAGUCAGCUGACAAUUGACCAUUUGGUACCUCUCAAUGAUGAGGUUCAAGAUAGCAAGAAGAAGAAAUGGAUUGUAGCAUUGAUAAAGCAAGAAAUUCUAGCACGCUGUCAAGUCAGGAUUCAGUUGGGUGCCCAUAAGAAAGAAGGAGCUUGAAGUUGUUUGUAAGGAGCAAAAUGGAUUGGUAGAUUAUAUGGUAAUUACGGUUUUAAUUGACGGCAGUUGUCUUGAGAGCUCCAAGGAUGUUUGACAGUCUUCGUUGUUUCCAUUUUUAGCGCUUAUGGUGGAGGAGGUAAGGCGUCGGAAGGUCGAUGGGGUGAGGCUUUUGUUAUUUUCUCCCCUCAGUAUAUAUUGUUUUAUGGGACUUUUGUGUUUCUUAAUGUCACUUUAUAAUAAUUGUCAGUCUCUUUGCUCUCACAGUGACCCUGAUGAUCUCAGUUCUCUAAUUCUUACUAGCAGUCUUUUGUGUUUGUCUGGUUUGUUGUAUGUGUGACAAAAUUGAAUCAAAUAUUGUGGCUUGCUCUUUCAUACUAACUUUGAUUCGUUUUUGUGAUGCUACAUUGUUAAAAUUUAAAUGUUGAAUCAUGAUUUGAUUGAAUUUAUCUACUUCUAACAAAAGUUUUCCAAUUCCUUGUCUAUUUUCAAAAUUGCAUGUGCCACAGCAGGUAGGAAAUGGACGGAGAUCAUGCAAAGCAACAGUUAUUCAACUUGAGUACUGGUAAUAACAUGCUGGUAAAGUUCUUAUAGUUUGAUUUGAUGACCAGCACCAUCACGGGGCAGAUUCAGCAUAUUUGAUUUUGGAAAAGAAAUGGAGUGAGUCCAGGUACAAUUCAAUUCGGUUAUUAAUCCAGACUUAGGUACUAAUAAGAUAAGAUAUCAUUACAUUAUUAAAAAUCCAUGUAAAACCAACACUAAAGAAAACUCUCUAAAAAACAGGACAGCCACUUUUUUGGCCUUAGUUUUAAAGUACACUUGAAAACCUAGCUGCAAAUUUAUCACCUUAUGGCCUCAUCAACCUCACUUUCACUGAAAUUACCAAGUCCUCAACCACAACCGACUUCGCUAUUGACUCUCUCCUCAAGGCAACCUGAUCGCCGAACUCACCAAGCUUGUUGCCGAAAUGAAGCUGCCGAACAUUGCUGCCAAACUCAGAUCCUUCGACGGACUGAGACGCCCGGAGUAGCUGUAAAAACCGUUCUCCUGAAGUCAAUUUUUGCCUAACCCAACCGCUCUAUUGUCGAACCGUAAUUGAUCCGCCAAACUACUUUGCUAAAACUGAUUUGCCGAACUUGAAUUCGCCUUUGUUGAAUUCGCAAAAUUUUCACCGAGUCAAGCCUAGUACCGAGUUGCCGAAUUGAUGACUCACGUGGCUGCCAAACUCCAAAUUGCCAAACUUCAAAAAAAUUAAGCAGUUUGCCAAACUCUCAAGAUCAUAUUUUUGUCAAUUUGUUUUUGUACGAGGACUUAUAGCUUCCAAAUUGCUAAGGUAAAAAAAACUUGGCCUUUCUAACGGUUUGGUAUCAUAUGAAAAAUGAAGGUGAUCUUGAUCGUCAAGAGUAUAUCGCCUUUUUAAGUUUAUCAUUUGCAAUACAAGAUAAAUCGGGACUCUCAAAAAAUUGCGACUGCGAUCGUGGAUUGUCAAAACCUUAACCACGGUCAGUAUUUUGACCCUACUUUAUCGAGGUAUUUUUGAUAUGUUGUCGCUUGCUGAAACAAAGUUCCAACUGGUCUGUUCUAGGUACUACAACUAUGGCUCUAUAUCUCCCAGAGUUAGUGAUUGUCACCACAGUAAAAGCUCAAUGCCACGGCUUGCUUUCGGAGAUACGAAGUAAGUGAUUAGCCAAUUGGACUUCAUCUCUUCAAGUCAGAGAUAUUUAUUCUAGAGGGAACCAUGUUCAUUCCAGUCAAUUUGUAGAGGAUUGGGCAAGCCUUGUGAACGAAGAGCUGAAGUCUAAUGGCUAACCACUUACUUCGUAUCUCUAGAUCGGUGCGUUUAGACCAUCCAUAUAACCCAUCCAUAGUGAUGGAUAAUCCCAGAUAAGUACAGGAACUGAUAGGUUGGGUGACUACCUUAGUAUGAAAAAAUGACGAGAAGUAUAGUGGCAUUGAGCUUUUACUGUGGUGUUAACUAACUCUGGGAAAUAUAGAACCAUAGUCGUAGUACCCAGAACGGUCCACUUGAAACUUUUUAUAAGCAAGUUCAGCGAGUGGAAGCCCAGAGAUUGGAACUUUUAAGAUGCAUGGAAAUCAAGGUAAUGCUCAUAAGAACAAAGUUGAGCCUAUUAAGAGUAAUGCAUGUUGUUGGGCAUAGGGUGCAUACAGAUUUUGAAUGAAUUGAUGCCCAUCUUUUUCCAGUGAUUUUCGAAGAAUAAAUGUAAAUGCUCGACCCGGUUUUUGAAUUUCCUUGAAUCCAGAUGGAAGCAACAUGAGGUUGUUUGAGCCCUUGGAGGAGAGUGAGUGUGAAAUAGCGAUGCUUGCUCACACAGUGGAGAUGGUUGCUUAAAAAUUGGACUAAGACAAUAAUAGUCCAUGUUUUUGAAAAAAGAAAGAAAACUUUUGUUAUUAACCAAUUGAUCUAAUACUGCCAAAUCGUUUAGAAAAGCUUAGUUGUUUACCUUAGCAGCUUGUUGGUAUCCUGGUGAAAAAUAAAAUCAAGCCUUCAAAUUGACAAAACUCCAGUAAUUCUAUUAGAUUGGAGGUAGGCAAAAAUAUGAUCCUGAGAGUUUGGCAAGUUGCUUAAUUUUUUUAAGUUUGGCAAUUUGGAGUUCGGUAGCCAGGUGAAUAGGUUCGGCAAAUUAAGUGAGUUAGUUUGGCAACUUGGUGAGUCAAUUUUGCAACUCGGUAAGUUAGUUUGGCAACUCAAUGAGUCAGGGCUCAAUACAACUAGGCGUGGCUCGUUGAAAAUUUUGCAAGUUCAAUAAAGACAAGGAGUUCGGCCGGGUUCGAUAGACUCAAGUUCGAAAAUCAGUUUUGGCAAAGUAGUUUGGCGGAUCAAUUUGGUGAAGUUCAACGGCGAGUCCAAGAGUCCGGUUCGGCAAGAAAUGACUUCAGGAGAACAGUUUUUGUAGCAAGUCCGGGGUCUCGGCAGGAUAUGACUUCGGCAGCUGCAAUUUGGCAAUAAAGUUUUGCAGCAAAGUUCGGCAGCGAGCUUGGUGAGUUCGGCAGCUUCAAUUCGGCAACAAAGUUUUGCAGCAAAGUUCGGCACCUUCAGUUCGGCAGCGAGCUUGGUGAGUUCGGCGAUCAGGUUCAGCCUUGAGGAUUCAAUAGCGAAGUCGGCUAUUGUUGGGGGCUUGGUGAUUUUUAGUGAAAGUGAGGGGUUUGGAAGCUUUGGGCUGUUAAGUUCGGCCAUAAGGUGACAAAUUGGCACCUAGAUUCCAGUGUUUGUACUUUUAAAUUAUUAAUUUGUUAAGACCAAAAGGUGGGUUUGGUCCUGUUUUUUUUUUUACAGAGCUUUUCUUUAGUUGGUUUUACAUGAAGAUAGCUUGUGACCAAAUUAUUAAAAAACAGCAUAAAAUUAAAAGAGUUCGGCGCGUACCUUAUCCGGACUGCAGUCGUAAUUUAUCAUAUGUUGAGAAAGAAAAAGUUACUGGUGAAGAAAAUAUUAUACUUUUGGGUCAGAACUAAAACAAGCUCAAUAUUUCGAAUAUCGAACUUGUUGAGGGUAUUGUUUACCAUAGCCCAAAAUAUUGCUGGAGAAGACUUUAUGUAAAGAUGGGGUUUUUGGGUAAUGUGACCCGUGUAGCCAAAUAAAUUAGAUUUUUUAUUAUUUAUCUUUUUUAA